GCGUACCUUUUGGAUAAUGGGUCAGCGACUUAUAUUCUGUAGCAAGGUUAACCGUAUAGGGGAGCCGCAGGGAAACCGAGUCUUAACUGGGCGUUAAGUUGCAGGGUAUAGACCCGAAACCCGGUGAUCUAGCCAUGGGCAGGUUGAAGGUUGGGUAACACUAACUGGAGGACCGAACCGACUAAUGUUGAAAAAUUAGCGGAUGACUUGUGGCUGGGGGUGAAAGGCCAAUCAAACCGGGAGAUAGCUGGUUCUCCCCGAAAGCUAUUUAGGU
rnacentral:rRNA from 1 species